rnacentral:rRNA from 1 species
CAGCAGCCGCGGGAAUGCGAAGGGGGCUAGCGUUGUUCGGAAUUACUGGGCGUAAAGCGCACGUAGGCGGAUAUUUAAGUCAGGGGUGAAAUCCCAGAGCUCAACUCUGGAACUGCCUUUGAUACUGGGUAUCUUGAGUAUGGAAGAGGUGAGUGGAGUUCCGAGUGUAGAGGUGAAAUUCGUAGAUAUUCGGAGGAACACCAGUGGCGAAGGCGGCUCACUGGUCCAUUACUGACGCUGAGGUGCGAAAGCGUGGGGAGCAAACAGGAUUAGAUACCCCCGUAGUCCCUGUCUCUUAUAC